rnacentral:rRNA from 1 species
AGAGUUUGAUCAUGGCUCAGGACGAACGCUGGCGGCGUGCCUAACACAUGCAAGUCGAACGGUUGAGAGGUGAGAGUUGGGAGGUUAGAAGUGAGAGCUUGAAGGUAUUGGCCAACAUGCCAAUACCAGCAAUGAAGUCUCACAUCCCGCUUCCCACAUCUCACUUCUCAAUAGUGGCGGACGGGUGAGUAACGCGUGGGCAACCUACCCAUCAGACUGGGAUAACACCGGGAAACUGGUGCUAAUACCGGAUACGCUUAUGGAGGGGCAUCCCUUUGUAAGGAAAGAAAAUCGCUGAUGAAUGGGCCCGCGUCUGAUUAGCUAGUUGGUGGGGUAGCGGCCUACCAAGGCGACGAUCAGUAGCCGGCCUGAGAGGGUGACCGGCCACACUGGGACUGAGACACGGCCCAGACUCCUACGGGAGGCAGCAGUGGGGAAUAUUGCGCAAUGGGGGAAACCCUGACGCAGCAACGCCGCGUGAGUGACGAAGGCCUUCGGGUCGUAAAGCUCUGUCGACAGG